rnacentral:rRNA from 1 species
CGCGGCCUAUCAGCUUGUUGGUGGGGUGAUGGCCUACCAAGGCGACGACGGGUAGCCGGCCUGAGAGGGUGUCCGGCCACACUGGGACUGAGAUACGGCCCAGACUCCUACGGGAGGCAGCAGUGGGGAAUAUUGCACAAUGGGCGCAAGCCUGAUGCAGCGACGCCGCGUGGGGGAUGACGGCCUUCGGGUUGUAAACCUCUUUCACCAUCGGCGAAGCCGGGAGCUUUUGUUUCUGGUGACGGUAGGUGGAGAAGAAGCGCCGGCCAACUACGUGCCAGCAGCCGCGGUAAUACGUAGGGUGCGAGCGUUGUCCGGAAUUACUGGGCGUAAAGAGCUCGUAGGUGGUUUGUUGCGUUGUUCGUGAAAUCUCACGGCUUAACUGUGAGCGUGCGGGCGAUACGGGCAGACUGGAGUACUGCAGGGGAGACUGGAAUUCCUGGUGUAGCGGUGGAAUGCGCAGAUAUCAGGAGGAACACCGGUGGCGAAGGCGGGUCUCUGGGCAGUAACUGACGCUGAGGAGCGAAAGCGUGGGGAGCGAACAGGAUUAGAUACCCUGGUAGUCCACGCCGUAAACGGUGGGUACUAGGUGUGGGUUUCCUUCCUUGGGAUCCGUGCCGUAGCUAACGCAUUAAGUACCCCGCC